UUAGCGGAGGAAAAGAAACUAACAAGGAUUCCCCUAGUAACGGCGAGUGAAGAGGGAAGAGCCCAAGAUUGAAAGCUGGCGUCUUCGGCGUCCGCAUUGUAAUCUCAAGAAGUGUUUUCCGCUUCGGACCAUGCCUAAGUCCCUUGGAAAAGGGCAUCAUAGAGGGUGAUAAUCCCGUACAUGGCAUGGAGCGCCCGAAGCUUUGUGAUACGCUUUCUAAGAGUCGAGUUGUUUGGGAAUGCAGCUCAAAAUGGGUGGUAAAUGCCAUCUAAGGCUAAAUAUUGGGGAGAGACCGAUAGCGAACAAGUACAGUGAUGGAAAGAUGAAAAGAACUUUGAAAAGAGAGUUAAACAGUACGUGAAAUUGCCAAAAGGGAAGGGUAGGAGGUCAGAGAUGCGUUCUGGGAUUCAGCCUUGCUUUUGCUUGGUGUUUUUCCCAAAUUGCAGGCCAACGUCGGUUUUGGGCGCUGGAGAAGGGUGGAAGGAACGUGGCACCCCUCGGGGUGUGUUAUAGCCUUCUACUGGAUACAGUGACCGAGACCGAGGACAGCAGCGUACUCGCAAGAGCGGGCCUUCGGGCACCUUUACGCUUAGGGCGUUGG
rnacentral:rRNA from 1 species